AUUGGCAACAACAGGCCCAUUUAAAAACGGCAAGUGUUUUUCUGUAAGAAAAGAAACUCAAAAUAGAGAUAAUAAAAUACAGAAUCAAUUCACCUACACUUUGUCCCACCAGGUGGCAGGAUAGUAUCAGAACUAAGGACAGAAGACUCAGGCCACCUCUUCACGUUGACACUCAACAGCAAGAAACAAAGGGGGGGAAAGGUGUGGUUGUUAAUACCUUUUCUUUAAAAGGUUAUCAGAAACAAAGGGGGGGAAAGGUGUGGUUGUUAAUACCUUUUCUUUAAAAGGUUAUCAGAAACAAAGGGGGGGAAAGGUGUGGUUGUUAAUAGCUUUUCUUUAAAAGGUUAUCAGAAACAAAGGGGGGGAAAGGUGUGGUUGUUAAUAGCUUUUCUUUAAAAGGUUAUCAGAAACAAAGGGGGGGAAAGGUGUGGUUGUUAAUAGCUUUUCUUUAAAAGGUUAUCAGAAACAAAGGGGGGGAAAGGUGUGGUUGUUAAUAGCUUUUCUUUAAAAGGUUAUCAGAAACAAAGGGGGGGAAAGGUGUGGUUGUUAAUAGCUUUUCUUUAAAAGGUUAUCAGAAACAAAGGGGGGGAAAGGUGUGGUUGUUAAUAGCUUUUCUUUAAAAGGUUAUCAGAAACAAAGGGGGGGAAAGGUGUGGUUGUUAAUAGCUUUUCUUUAAAAGGUUAUCAGAAACAAAGGGGGGGAAAGGUGUGGUUGUUAAUAGCUUUU